GCCUCGUUAGCUUGAAUGGUAAGGCGCCCGCAUGGUAAGCGCUAAGUCGCGGAUUCGAUUCCCGCACGGGACG
rfam:Asian citrus Psyllid, Diaphorina citri - Florida Strain, whole genome shotgun sequence.